rnacentral:rRNA from 1 species
GCAGUAGGGAAUCUUCCGCAAUGGGCGAAAGCCUGACGGAGCAAUGCCGCGUGAGUGAUGAAGGUUUUCGGAUCGUAAAGCUCUGUUGCCAGGGAAGAACGUCCUUGAGAGUAACUGCUCAAGGAGUGACGGUACCUGAGAAGAAAGCCCCGGCUAACUACGUGCCAGCAGCCGCGGUAAUACGUAGGGGGCAAGCGUUGUCCGGAAUUAUUGGGCGUAAAGCGCGCGCAGGCGGUCAUUUAAGUCUGGUGUUUAAUCCCGGGGCUCAACCCCGGAUCGCACUGGAAACUGGAUGACUUGAGUGCAGAAGAGGAGAGUGGAAUUCCACGUGUAGCGGUGAAAUGCGUAGAGAUGUGGAGGAACACCAGUGGCGAAGGCGACUCUCUGGGCUGUAACUGACGCUGAGGCGCGAAAGCGUGGGGAGCAAACAGGAUUAGAUACCGCYGGGUAAGUCA